GCCUUCGUGGUGUAAUGGUCAGCACACUGAGCCGGUAUUUCAGAGGUCCGCGGUUCGAUUCCCGGCGAAAGCG
rfam:Stegodyphus mimosarum contig58461, whole genome shotgun sequence.